AGUCGAGCGAGCGGAACUAACAGAUUUACUUCGGUAAUGACGUUAGGAAAGCGAGCGGCGGAUGGGUGAGUAACACGUGGGGAACCUGCCCCAUAGUCUGGGAUACCACUUGGAAACAGGUGCUAAUACCGGAUAAGAAAGCAGAUCGCAUGAUCAGCUUUUAAAAGGCGGCGUAAGCUGUCGCUAUGGGAUGGCCCCGCGGUGCAUUAGCUAGUUGGUAAGGUAAAGGCUUACCAAGGCGAUGAUGCAUAGCCGAGUUGAGAGACUGAUCGGCCACAUUGGGACUGAGACACGGCCCAAACUCCUACGGGAGGCAGCAGUAGGGAAUCUUCCACAAUGGACGCAAGUCUGAUGGAGCAACGCCGCGUGAGUGAAGAAGGUUUUCGGAUCGUAAAGCUCUGUUGUUGGUGAAGAAAGAUAGAGGUAGUAACUGGCCUUUAUUUGACGGUAAUCAACCAGAAAGUCACGGCUAACUACGUGCCAGCAGCCGCGGUAAUACGUAGGUGGCAAGCGUUGUCCGGAUUUAUUGGGCGUAAAGCGAGCGCAGGCGGAAGAAUAAGUCUGAUGUGAAAGCCCUCGGCUUAACCGAGGAACUGCAUCGGAAACUGUUUUUCUUGAGUGCAGAAGAGGAGAGUGGAACUCCAUGUGUAGCGGUGGAAUGCGUAGAUAUAUGGAAGAACACCAGUGGCGAAGGCGGCUCUCUGGUCUGCAACUGACGCUGAGGCUCGAAAGCAUGGGUAGCGAACAGGAUUAGAUACCCUGGUAGUCCAUGCCGUANACGAUGAGUGCUAAGUGUUGGGAGGUUUCCGCCUCUCAGUGCUGCAGCUAAC
rnacentral:rRNA from 1 species